AUUGAACGCUGGCGGAAUGCUUUACACAUGCAAGUCGAGCGGCAGCGCGGGGCAACCUGGCGGCGAGCGGCGAACGGGUGAGUAAUACAUCGGAACGUGCCCAGACGUGGGGGAUAACUACUCGAAAGAGUAGCUAAUACCGCAUAUGAUCUAAGGAUGAAAGCGGGGGAUCGCAAGACCUCGCGCGUUUGGAGCGGCCGAUGGCAGAUUAGGUAGUUGGUGGGGUAAAGGCUUACCAAGCCCGCGAUCUGUAGCUGGUCUGAGAGGACGACCAGCCAGCAGGGGACUGAGACACGGCCCAGACUCCUACGGGAGGCAGCAGUGGGGAAUUUUGGACAAUGGGCGAAAGGCUGAUCCAGCCAUUCCGCGUGCAGGAUGAAGGCCCUCGGGUUGUAAACUGCUUUUGUACGGAACGAAAAGCCCUGGGUUAAUACCCUGGGGUCAUGACGGUACCGUAAGAAUAAGCACCGGCUAACUACGUGCCAGCCGCCGCCGUAA
rnacentral:rRNA from 1 species